rnacentral:rRNA from 1 species
UGGGGAAUCUUGCACAAUGGGGGAAACCCUGAUGCAGCGACGCCGCGUGAUUUAGAAGGCCUUCGGGUUGUAAAAAUCUUUUCUAUGGGAAGAAAAUGACAGUACCAUAGGAAUAAGGACCGGCUAAUUACGCGCCAGCAGCCGCGGUAAUACGUAAGGUCCGAGCGUUGUCCGGAAUCAUUGGGCGUAAAGGGUACGUAGGCGGGUAAGCAAGUUAGAAGUGAAAUCCUAUAGCUCAACUAUAGUAAGCUUUUAAAACUGCUCAUCUUGAGGUAUGGAAGGGAAAGUGGAAUUCCUAGUGUAGCGGUGAAAUGCGCAGAUAUUAGGAGGAAUACCGGUGGCGAAGGCGACUUUCUGGCCAUAACCUGACGCUGAGGUACGAAAGCGUGGGUAGCAAACAGG